rnacentral:rRNA from 1 species
AUUAGAUACCCGGGUAGUCCUAGCCGUAAACGAUACUCGCUAGGUGUCGGCUACGGUGCGACCGUUGUCGGUGCCGUAGGGAAGCCGUGAAGCGAGCCACCUGGGAAGUACGGCCGCAAGGCUGAACUUAAGGAAUUGGCGGGGAGCACCACGACGGGUGGAGCUUGCGGUUUAAUUGGAUUCAACGCCGGAAAUCUUACCGGGACCGACAGCAACAUGAAGGCCAGGCUGAAGACUUUGCCGGAUUUAGCUG